GGGGGCCCGGGGCCCGCGCGGGCUUGCGGGUCCGGGGCGGGAUGCCAGGUACCAGGGCCUCUGGGCUUCCUGUUAAAGAUUUUUUUCUGAGAGGGAUGGGUUUCUGCGCCGCUUAAAGCGAGAGGAGGAAAGAGGAAGUGGGCUCGGGCGUCGGCAUCCUCUCUGAUGGAGAAAUACGGGAAGGGCAGCGGCGUCUAAGCCACAGCCGCUGCUUCGGGGACGGGGGACGUGAUGACUGUUGGGAGACCCGGUGACUGCUAGCAUAAUCUGUACUUUUGGACGAAUCAGUUAAAUGCGCUUUGUUACCUUCUAGACAUGUUUAUGGAAGGAGGGUUUAUUUGUCUAUCCAAUUUUGUAGUCUCUGUCUUUUAACAGAAAUAACCAGUUCUUCAAAUGCUCUUAGAACCAGCUUUACCAUCCUACUGCUUCCUUCAUCAAUUAAAAAUAAAAUCAUUGACAUGGGUUCAUUCUGUAUAGAAGCAUACGAGAGAGAAAUCAGCAAUGAUUCCUAUGUUUCUGGCUUCAACAACUGGGAAAAUGGAGUAUGUUACAGCAACAUGCCUUAAUAAAGACAGCCAAAGUCCAAAUACCUCUGUCAACAUUAAGUUGAUAUAAACACAGCAAAGGUGAUGGGAGUGACCAGAUCACAAGGAAGCCAGAUUUUGAGGACAGAUGUCUGGGAGGAAGGAGCAAGAAGACAAAGGGAGGAAAAGCAAAACGAUAAUGGAUUAGCGGUGAGAUGGACGUGUCUCCGUGUUCUGGCCCUCCAAACCAACAACUGUCAUUCAAAAACCGUCUCAUCCUGGUGACCAGCUUGCCUUUUCCUCAGCAUCUUCUUCCCAUGGUCAAGACAUGAGACUGGUCCAUUGAGGAUAAAAUGAAGAACUAAAGUAAGUGAAAGAAGAUGAGAUUUUAGGAGCAAAAUGUCUAUGGCAUAAAAUAAAUUAAUAUAACUGAUAAUAAAGAUAUUUGAUCAAAGA